rnacentral:tRNA from 1 species
GCUCCCAUGGCAUAGAGGUUACUGCGCUCGCCUUGCACACUGGAGACCCGGGUUCGAUUCCCAGUGGGGUCA